rnacentral:rRNA from 1 species
AACGUAGGUUCCGAGCGUUAUCCAGAUUUACUGGGCGUAAAGCGCGUUCAGGCGGUUUGACAAGUCGGGCAUGAAAUCUCUCGGCUCAACCGGGAGAGGUUGUCCGAUACUUUCAGACUUGAGGGCAGUAGAGGGUGGUGGAAUUCCGGGUGUAGUGGUGAAAUGCGUAGAUAUCCGGAGGAACACCAGUGGCGAAAGCGGCCACCUGGACUGCACCUGACGCUGACACGCGAAAGCUAGGGGAGCGAACGGG